GAGAAAGUUAUAGAGGUUAUAGGGUUGACUUGAAAUCAACUUUGGGAGGUUCAAUUCCUUCCUUUCUUG
ensembl:Mt_tRNA